GCAGAGACCUAGCGGACAGUUUUCCGGUGGCAGCAAUGCUCAUUUCCCGGACACAGAUGGUUUUUGGCCCCUGAAGAACUCUUUAAUCCCUGCGUUUUGUAGCGCUCGUUCUCUAAUAAGGUUCACACCCACCUCCCUGCAAUCUGAUUUGGACGGCCCAUGAGACCAGAAGAUUACAAAAACGCAAAAGAUGUUGACUUAUGAGUCCUAGAUACCCUGUAUCCGCUGGUGAAAGGACGCGAUGGAGUUGCCGUGUCCCCUCCGAGUUUGGCAGGCCCGGGAUUCCGCAAAGGAGGCGGCGGGACCAGAUGCCUCCAGCCCGGAGCUCAGUACAUUCGGUGUCCUGGAUGCUCCCUUCCUGUGCUUACCACUGCGAGCUCUCCUGGGCCGACCUAGAUUUCCACUGCCACAUACUUUCCGCUCCCUGCGUGCUUCCUUGCUGAAACUGCCGGCGAAAAGAUCUCUUUCCCAAGCCUCAGAGUACCUGGAGGCGGGGCGCAGAGUCGCCUGCUCUGGAUCCGGCGCAGGCAAUUCAGGAGGAGCCGCAGGAGCCCUCGGGAGAGCAGGAGGCUGCAUAGGGUCUCAACAUACGCCCGCCCGCCCCCGCAGCCUCCCUCGCAACUCGCCUCUCGCUUAGUGGACAGACGACUGGAGCCGGAGACUUCCAUCCGAGAAGACCUUUGAGAGUGUCAGCCUACUGCUGUCCCCUGGUGCCACCAACCAAAGUUCCAAGACUGCUGGCUGCAGAUGGCAUGCGCUUGGGGACAGACGCCCUGAGACUGUGUCCACGGCCCGCCUUUGGAAUCCUGGGCCCUGAAACUUCCUCUGAGACCUUCCAUUGGAUGAUCCUCUUGUAAAUAAAUAAAUAAAUAAAUAAAGUUACAAUAAUACCUGA
ensembl:lncRNA novel transcript